ensembl:lncRNA
GGCUAAAGCCAGGAGAUGGCAGGGGUGGGGCUAAAGCCAGGAGAUGGCAGGGGUGGGGCUAAAGCCAGGAGGUGGCAGUGGUGGGGCUAAAGCCGGUAGAUAUCCGAACUGGGAUACUUUGACAGACAGUCUAACAAUGACUUAGAGUGAUCUAUGAAUCCCAAAAUAUUCUCUGUAUUUUCCAUUAUUCCCAUUUAAGGGUUCUGAAUUGGCUGAAUAAGGAUGACCAUGUUAGUUAAUCGUGGGACGAGCACUUAUGUGGGACGAGCUGUAAUUGUCAAGUUCAAAUGAUCACCUCAAAGCAAUUUGCAUCUGAAGAAUACAUUACUGAUGAUUACCAUUUUAUAGCCAUACUGCGGUAAACUGCCAUUAGGACACCAUAUGAAAGUGAUUCUGCCCCAGGUGAUGGAAGGGAGAUUAUGAAUGCAUUCUUGCCAAGCCAGCAAACCCUGGGGCCUGUCCUACGUUGAAUCCUAUUCUCCACAAACCUCACUGUAACUGGGAACCUUAUGGACUACAGGGAAUAGGAUGCUUUUUACAACUGAAACCUGAGAUGGAAACUAGAUUUUACACUGAGCCCUAUACUAAACAUUAAGUCCUGUGAUUAACCCUAAGCUGUGUACUAAAUACUGAGCCUUGUACUAAACAUUAAGUCCUGUACUAAACAAUAAGUCCUGGACUUAACACUGAGCCCUGUACUCAACACAUUGCCCUGUAAUGAACACUGUGCCCUGUACUAACCACUGAGCUGUGUACUAACCACUGAGCUGUGUACUAACAAAUGAGCUGUGUACUAACCACUGAGCUAAGGGCAGGUAACGUUUAGUGACUGAAUGUAUUUUUCAGUUUGUGUGUGUGUUUCUUAGACUACAGAUGUAUUGUUUUUUUGGGAUGCAUGGGAAUGUCCCACCUUGCUUGGUUAUGUAGCGAGGAGGAAUGCAUUAGCAAAGCCUCUGUAAACACAGAAACAAAACACACAAAGACUCGCCAUGAAUUAUAAAUUAAGAUACAUAUUCGUCUGUUUGCUAGAUGCCUAGGACAAUGUAUUUGACGCAUGCAAGUAGAUGUUCUGCUCCUGUUCCUCUGUUUUUGAAAAGGUGGUUGUGUUUUUCUUUUUCUUGAUGUUUAUGUUAAUGGGAUGUAAUGGAUAGAUUUCCUGAUAUCAACAACUCCAAAUUGACAACAUGACCUGUCUGUCAUGAAUGAGAGAUGAUCUGUGUUGCAGAAUAUUCCAGAAGUCACAGAUUGGUGGAGAAGAGAGAGGAAAGAAAGGAAGAGCGUUACAGGGAGGAUGAUGAGGAGUAGAGAGAGGAUGAUGAGGGAUGAUGAUGAGUAGAGAGUAGAUAAUGAGGGGUAGAGAGGAUGAUGAAGGAUGAUGAGGGGUAGAGGGAGGAUAAUGAAGGGUGGAGAGAGGAUGUUGAGGGGAAGAGGAAUUAUAGGGGAAUAAGGAUGAUGAUAAUGGUUAGAGGUAGAAUGAUUAGGGAUGAUUAGGGGUAUAGAGAGGGUAAUGAGGGGUGAUGAGGAGUAGAGGGAUAAUAUUGAGGGAUGAUGAGGGGUAGAGGAAUGAUAAUUAGGAUAAUGAGGGAUGAUGAGAGGUAGGAGGAUUAUGAAGGGUAGAGGAAGGAUAAUGAGGGAUGAUGAGAGGUAGAGGGGGGAUGAUGAGGGGUAGAGGAAUGAUAAUGAGGAUAUAGAAGGAUGAUGAGAGAUAGAGGGGGGAUGAUGAGGGGUAGAAGAAUGUAAAUGAGGAUAAUGAGGGGUGAUGAGAGAGGGGGGGGGGUGAUGAGGAAUGAUAAUGAUGAGGAAUGAAUAUUAUAUAGGGGUGUUAUACAGGGAUGUUCUAUAAAGGUGUUUUAUAAGUGUAUUAUAUAGGGUUGUUAUACAGAGAUGUUCUAUAAGGGUGUUUUAUAAGUGUAUUAUAUAGGGUUGUUAUACAGUGUUGUUCUACAGGGAUGUUCUAUAAGGGUGUUUUAUAAGUGUAUUAUAUAGGGGUGUUAUACAGAUAUGUUCUAUAAGGGUGUUUUAUAAGUGUAUUAUAUAGGGUUGUUAUACAGUGUUGUUCUACAGGGAUGUUCUAUAAGGAUGUUUUAUAAUUGUAUUAUAUAGGGGUGUUAUACAGGGAUGUUCUAUAAGGGUGUUUUAUAAUUGUAUUAUAUAGGGGUGUUAUACAGGAAAAUCCUAUAAGGGUGUUAUAUAAGUGUAUUACGUAUAUAACAUAUGUAACAGGGUUUUAUAUAUUCAUGAGCUAUAGGAGUGUUAUGCAGAGCUGUUCUAUAUGGAUUAUAUGUGGGGUUCUCUUUAAGACUGGAUCUCUCAUCAGGGUGUUCCAUAGAAAUGUUCCAUAGUAAGGUUUUAUAGGGAUGUUCUGUAAGAGUGUUAAGUAGAGUUGUUCCAUGGGAACGUUCCAAAGGGAUGUUCCACAGGAGUGUUUUGUCAGGGGGUUUCUUAAAGUUGUUUAAAAGGGUUGUUCGGUAGGAAUGUUCCAUAGGAAGGUUCCAUAGUGAUGUUCUGUAUUUUUGUUUGGGUCUUCCAAAACAAUGUUCCGUCUGGGUGUUCUGUAGGGAUUUUCCUUGGGAAGGUUCCAAUGGGAUGUUCCAUAGGGGUGUUUCAGAGGUGUUCCUUUGGGGUGUUCCAUAGGGGUGUUCCGUACAGUUAAGGGUGCAAAUUGGAACACAGAUUCCUUUAAUCCGAAGCGUUUUCAUGGAGCUCAGUAUGAGGC